rnacentral:lncRNA from 1 species
AGUGCCAAGGCCGGUGUGAGUGCCAAGCACUAGGAGAAGGACCCUGACCCUGCAAGUCCAAUCCUUGGGGGUCUAGGAGGGAAGAAGCCCCUGGCUGUGUGACCUUAGGCUGGUGCCUGGCCCUCUCUGGCUCUGAGUUUCUGGGAAAGUCAGCACCCAAGGAACGCCCUCCAGUUUAGCACCUUGACAAGAAAGCCUCGUGCCCUCAACCCCAGAACCCUGGUCUGAGUCCUGGGUCACCCAGGACCACCCUGGACCCACUGGAAUUCGUCCAGCACCACUUGGUCAAAGUUCUGCAGAGAUCUGAGGACAAGGGUCAGCUGGGGGUCAGGAGAGGAUGAAGAGGGUCACAGCUCUACCAGACGAAGCCUCAUUCCUUGUGGCGCCCGGCCCACCCCUCUGAUGUGGGCCCUAAACCUCCGGCUGGCCCAGCCCUGCAGAGAACUGAGUCCCAGAGGAGGUGCAGGUGGAGUCAUUGAAGCAACACUGCAGCUGGACCUGGGUCUGAGUCCCUGCUCCUGGCUGUGAGAUGCGCCUCUCCCUCUGUUUAUUCAUCUGAAGGAUAGGGCUGUGCUGUUCUGGGUUUGCUGUGACAAUUGAACUGGCCUCUGUGAGUUGGUGGUGGCCUCCUGAGAUGGCUUGAGGUGAGCUGGAGGUGUGUAUUGAAUGCCCCCUCGCACCCACGGGGAAGACCCACUUAAGGAA